rnacentral:pre_miRNA from 1 species
UUUCUACUCCCUCCGUCCGAAAAUACUUGUCAUAAAAAUGGAUAAAAAGAGAUGUAUCUAAAACUAAAAUACGUCUAGAUACAUUUCCUUUUAUCCAUUUUGAUGGCAAGUAUUUCCGGACGGAGGGAGUAUUUG